rnacentral:lncRNA from 11 species
CAAUUACAUAAUGAGCAUGCUGAUAGAGUCAGAGAAAUGCAAUGAAACAAGAGAGAUUUUUAGUUCAAUUGUAUCAGCUUUUCCUGUUUUGUUUAACAACUAAUGUUGCUGCUGAAAAAUAACAUCCAAACAUCACUAUUUUCUGCUCAUUCAAAAGUGUUGAAAACUUCAUGUCAGUCGAUUUGGAUAGAAUUACCAUAACCCUAGCUAGGACUUGAAAC